CCUGCAAAACGAAUCUAAGUUCCCCCUUAACCCUCUUUUUCCUCCCCAGACAAACCCAACCCAAAUGUGAUAGUUAAGGGCUAUUUAAAGGGGGUACAGCCCCUUUAAAAAAGGACACAACCUCCACCAGCGGAUAACCCCUGUACGCCCAACCCCGUGGGCCUUAAAGCAGCCACCCCCAAAGAUUGCGUCAAAGCUCCAUCAACCAAAAACCCCCAAAACCAAUGCGACUCCCUACACCCACAGCAGGCCAACCUAUAACAAUAGAUGAAUCAAUGCUAGAACGAGUAACCAGGACACUAUGUCCCCCCAAGCGCCAGCCUGUAUACCAUUAACAGUAAAACCUCAAUAAUAACCAUCCCCACCAUUGAACCCACCCUGUCAACCCAACUCAGGGGCGCACACUGGAGUGAUCAAAAUCUACAAAAGGAACUCGGCAAACCUAAGACCCGACUGUUUACCAAAAACAUAGCCUUCAGCCAAACAAGUAUUGAAGGUGAUGCCUGCCCAGUGACACUAUGUUUAACGGCCGCGGUA
rnacentral:rRNA from 1 species